GACGUCGAAUAUCGACGUCAUAAACACCAAAGUUGUUUGUGUUUAUGACGUCGAAUAUCGACGUCAUAAACACCAAAGUUGAUCGUGUUUAUGACGUCGAAUAUCGACGUCAUAAACACCAAAGUUGUUCGUGUUUAUGACGUCGAAUAUCGACGUCAUAAACACUAAAGUUGUUCAUGUUUAUGACGUCGAAUAUUGACGUCAUAAACACCAAAGUUGUUCGUGUUUAUGACGUCGAAUAUCGACGUC
rnacentral:miRNA from 1 species